rnacentral:rRNA from 1 species
CCUACGGGUGGCAGCAGUAGGGAAUCUUUCACAAUGGGCGAAAGCCUGAUGCAGCAACGCCGCGUGGGUGAAGAAGGCCUUCGGAUUGUAAAACUCUGUCGUCAGAGACGAUAGUGCGGGAGAGUAACUGUUCACCAUUCGACGGUUCCUAGCAAGCAAGCACCGGCUAACUACGUUCCAGCAGCCGCGGUAAUACGUAGGUGGCAAGCGUUAUCCGGAUUUAAUGGGCGUAAAGGGAACGCAGGCGGUCUUUGAAGUCUGAUGUGAACACCUUGGGCUUAACCGGAGUAGUGCAUUUGAAACUGGAAGACUAGAGUGCAGGAGAGGAGAGUGGAAUUACAUGUGUAGCGGUGAAAUGCGUAGAGAUAUGGAAGAACACCAGUGGCGAAAGCGGCUCUCUGGACUGUAACUGACGCUGAGGUUCGAAAGCGUGGGGAGCAAACAGGAUUAGAUACCCCUGUAGUC